UACGUAGGGUGCAAGCGUUAAUCGGAAUUACUGGGCGUAAAGCGUACGAAGGCGGCUUUGCAAGACAGGUGUGAAAUCCCCGGGCCUAACCUGGGAACUGCAUUUGUGACUGCAUAGCUAGAGUUUGUCAGAGGGGGGUGGAAUUCCACGUGUAGCAGUGAAAUGCGUAGAUAUGUGGAGGAACACCGAUGGCGAAGGCAGCCCCCUGGGAUGUGACUGACGCUCAUGUACGAAAGCGUGGGGAGCAAACAGG
rnacentral:rRNA from 1 species